rnacentral:rRNA from 1 species
AGCUCCAAUAGCGUAUAUUAAAUUUGUUGCAGUUAAAAAGCUCGUAGUUGGAUCCCAGGACGGGGCUGCAGGUAUUGAUCUAUGUCAAUCACUUCGCAGAACCGCCUCAUUAGCCGUCAGCUUGCGGGUGCGUUCUUUAUUGAAUGACUCGUGACGCGGCAAUAUUACUUUGAAAAAAUUAGAGUGCUCAAAGCAGGCCAUUAUGAGCCUGAAUACUGUUGCAUGGCAUAACGAAAUACGACUUGAGCUCUAUUUUGUUGAUUUUCGGUAUUAUGCUCAAGUAAUGAUUAACAGGAGUAGAACGGGGGCUGAAGUAUGGUCGCGUUAGAGGUGAAAUUCAUGGAUCGUGGCCGGACUACCUACUGCGAAAGCAUUUGCCAAGGAUGCCUUCAUUAAUCAA